rnacentral:rRNA from 1 species
GACGAACGCUGGCGGCGUGCCUAAUACAUGCAAGUAGAACGCUGAAGGAGGAGCUUGCUUCUCUGGAUGAGUUGCGAACGGGUGAGUAACGCGUAGGUAACCUGCCUGGUAGCGGGGGAUAACUAUUGGAAACGAUAGCUAAUACCGCAUAAUAGUAGAUGUUGCAUGACAUUUGCUUAAAAGGUGCAAUUGCAUCACUACCAGAUGGACCUGCGUUGUAUUAGCUAGUUGGUGGGGUAACGGCUCACCAAGGCGACGAUACAUAGCCGACCUGAGAGGGUGAUCGGCCACACUGGGACUGAGACACGGCCCAGACUCCUACGGGAGGCAGCAGUAGGGAAUCUUCGGCAAUGGACGGAAGUCUGACCGAGCAACGCCGCGUGAGUGAAGAAGGUUUUCGGAUCGUAAAGCUCUGUUGUAAGAGAAGAACGAGUGUAAGAGUGGAAAGUUCACACUGUGACG